GGCCCGGUAUUCAAUUAUGAUUUUAAAUUGCAAAUUUAAAGGUAAAUUUAUUUUUCGGUCCU
rnacentral:tRNA from 1 species